UCCGGCUUCUCGCCGGCAGUCCUCUUCGAGUGCCCGACAUUACUCGCUGGCAACAAAGAGCAGGGGUUGCGCUCGUUGCGGGACUUAACCCAGCAUCUCACGACACGAGCUGACGACAGCCAUGCACCACCUGUGAUGGUGUCCCGAAGGAAAACUGUGUUUCCACGGCGGUCACCAACAUGUCAAGCCCAGGUAAGGUUCUUCGCGUUACAUCGAAUUAAGCCACAUGCUCCGCCGCUUGUGCGGGUCCCCGUCAAUUCCUUUGAGUUUUAGCCUUGCGGCCGUACUCCCCAGGCGGGGUGCUUAAUGCGUUAGCUGCGUCACCAAACAGCAAGCUGCCUGACAACUAGCACCCAUCGUUUACGGCGUGGACUAC
rnacentral:misc_RNA from 1 species